rnacentral:lncRNA from 1 species
UAUAUUCGUGCUUGGUUUCUCGGGUUGAGGGUUGGAGCUCGAAGCUUCUUCGUUCGGACCUAUGUUGGGUGGAACUACAGUAAGGGGGGUUACCCAAAUUGGGGAAGUCUGGUUCGUAUUAAUGACCACCAUUGUUGACAAUUUGCAGAGAAUAGAAGAAAAUUUUCUGGAGAGAAGAAGAGAGCUCAAAGGUUCGAAAUUCA